GGGGAUGUAGUUCAGUGGGAGAGCGCCUGCUUCGCAUGUAGGAGGCCCUGGAUUCAAUCCCCAGCAUCUCCA